ACCAUAUUGAGAUUUGAUGCUAUUUUAGGAUAGACAUUUAAAGUUUAGAGAUUAGGAUUUGUUAGCUUGUAUUGAAGGUUAUAAUUUUUGUACAAAAAAUAAAGAACUUUGAAUUUUUAUGAGGGAAAAAUGGACACUUGAAGUUAGGAUCUUGAAAUUGUACCUACUGCCUUUAUUUUUGGGUAUAAUGAGUUAUAUAAGAACUUUUAGAGAUCAAAAAGUAAAAGUCAAAAGCUGACUUGA
rnacentral:lncRNA from 1 species